UCUCAAUUCAUCAAAACGACGUAGCUUUCUCUGAUUCCCUAACUACCCUUCAAUUCAACCCUACCUUGAUCCGUUCAACGAAUUCUUCUCACAAAAUGGCUUAUCUCACUUGCUAGGGUUUCACCCUUCCCAAAUCUUUCACUCCGAAACCACACUGUACCUUUUCUUAAUCAACCUAAUCCAAUUCUUCGUUAUGGCUAUCAGAGUCGCGCCUCUUUGGAUCCAACCAGAAACCCGAUCUCGAACGUUCCGGCGGCUUUCGCAACCGGAAUCUCUAUUCCGAUUUCACAAAACCUAGAAACUCACCUGUUUCUGUUUAUUCUACCCUCGCCGGAGAAAUUCUCUCCGAAAGCUGCAACAAUCCAAUCAUCUUAGGAUUAAUUUCAAUGAUGAACUCAACGGCGAUUUCUGGGUCAACAUCGGCGGCUAUGUGUGCUAUGGGUACAACUUGGGAGGAGGUUGAUAAAGGUGUAAAUCACUUCCACCGUGACGGAAUAACGCUAUUGUGCUUUUUGGUUGAGAUCUAGGAGGUCGUUUGAAGAUAAUGAAGGAUGGCAUAAAGGAGAGAAGACGGCACCUAUUAUUUCUGAAAAUGGAGCAGCUUUUCCUGUUUGCAGAUCAACUCCUACAUAAUCAAGUAAGGCUAUGCAAAAAAUAGGAAGGAUGCCUCUGCAACAAAGUAUUUUCUCAGAUUUCUUGUUUAUCGUUUGGAUCACACAAUGUAGGAAGACAAUGCAACAAAUGGGAAGAAAUACGAUGCUUAUUGAUUGAUGGAUCAAUAAUUCAAUAUGCAGUCUUUUCAAGGUUAGUCGUGCAACUCUUGUAAAUUUAAUUUCUGUAAUCACCGCAACAUCUCUCUUUAUUCAUCUUUUACAAUUUGAUUUUUUGAUUUUGGGAUUUUGAAUUUUGUCGUCAAAAUAUAAUUUGUUUUGUAUGUUUAUUUGUUUUGUUUUUUAUCGAUUGUCUUUCGGGUUUAUAACUUUCAAGUUUUUUCUUUUUACUUUAUUGAGUUAUGUCUUUUAUUUGGCGCGAAAAUGAGAUUUUAGCUUAUAUGGUUACUUGUUUGAUAAAUUGGAAGUUUAAACUCUUCCUUCGAUGUCCCUUGAUGCGUAACAUAAUAUUUGAACCUAUUUGGUUUUAAAUUUGGUUAAUAUAGUAUUGCCUUGUCGCGAAAACGUGAUGUUAGCCUAUAUGGUUCUGAAGUUUGAUAAAUGCGAUGAUUGAGCGUGUCCUUUGAUUUAAAACAUGAUGUGAACCUAUUUGGUUUUGUAUUCGGUUAAAUAAAAAUAUUGGAAUGACCUUUGUCGCGAAAAUGAGAUUUUGGCUUAUAUGGUUAGAAAUUUGAUAAAUUUGAUGGCUGAACUUGUCCUUUGAUGUCCUUUGAUGCAAAACAUGAUAUUUGUACCUAUUUGAUUUUAAAUUCGGUAAAAUGAAAGUAUUGGAAUGACCCUUGUUGCAAAAAUGAGAUUUUAGCCUAUAUGGUUACAAGUUUGACAAAUGAGAAGCUUGUACUUCUUUAUGUGAAACAUGAUAUUUGAACCUAUUUUGCUUUUAAAUUCGGUAAUUAGAAACUAUUCGAUGACCCUUGUCGCGAAAAAUGAGAUUGUAGUCUAUAUGGUUAGAAGUUUGAUAAAUAUGAAGGUUGAACUUGUCCCUUGAUGUCAUUUGAUUGAAAACAUAUAUUUGAACCUGUUUGGUUUAAAUUCGGUAAAAAAAAAUAAAAAAAUAAAAAUUUAGCUUGAAUGGUUGCAAGUUUGAUAAAUGAGAUGUUUGUACUUGUCCCUUAAUCAUUAUGUGAAACAUGAUAUUUGAACAUAUUUGGUUUUAAAUUCGGUAAUUAGAAAUUAUUGGCAUGAUCCUUGUCCCGAAAACGAGAAUGGUUACAUGUUUUGUUAAAUGGGAAGAUUGAACUUGAACUUGCCCCUCGAUGUCAGUUGUUGUGAAACUUGAUGUUUAAGCAUAGUUAGUUCUAAAUUCGGUAAAUUGGAAGUAUGACAAUGUGCCUUUAUGACUGUUGAAUUUGUCCCUCGAUGUCAUUUGAUGCUUAAAAUAGUAUUUUGACACUAUUUUGUUUUAAAUUCAGUAAAUAGAAAGUAAUGAGAUAAAACUUGUUGUGAAAAUGAGGUUUUACCUGAUAUGGUUACAAGUUUAAUAAAUAUGUUUAACAUGUUCCUCGAUGUCCCUUGAUGCGAAACAUGAUAUGUCAACUUAUUUGGUUUUGUAUUCGGUAAAAUGAAAGUAUUGGAAUGUUCCUUGUCGCGAAAACCGAAUUUUAGCCUAUAUGGUUACAAUUUUGAUUUGAUAAAUAUGAAGGUGAACUUGUCCCUUGAUGUUCUUUGAUUGAAAACAUAUAUUUGAACCUAUUUGGUUUUAAAUUCGGUAAAAAAUAGAUUUUUGCCUGAAUGGUUACAAGUUUGAUAAAUGAGAUGCUUGUACUUGUCGCUUAAUCAUUAUGUGAAACAUGAUAUUUGAACAUAUUUGGCUUUAAAUUCGGUAAAAUGAAAGUCUUGAAAUGACCCUUGUCGCGAAAAUGAGAUUGUAGCCUGUAUGGUUAAAAGUUUGAUAACUAUGAAGGUUGAAUUUUUCCCUCGAUGUCCUUUGUUGCGUAACAUAUUUUUUUAACCUAUUUGGUUUUAAAUUCGGUAAACAGAAAGUAGUGGGAUGACCGUGAUCGCUAAAACAAGAUUUUAGCUUAUAUGGUUACAAGUUUGAUAAAUAUGAAGGUUCAAUUUGUCCCUCGAUGUUCUUUGAUGAGUAACAAGAUAUUUGAACCUAUUUGGUUUUAAAGUAUUGGGAUGACCCUUGUCGCGAAAACGUGAUUUUAGCCUAUAUGGUUACAAAGUUAGAUAAAUGGGAAGGUUGAACGUGUCCCAUGAUUUAAAACAUGAUGUGAACCUAUUUGGUUUGUAUUCUGUUAAAUAAAAAUAUUGGAAUGACCUUUGUCGCGAAAAUGAGAUUUUGUCCUAUAUGGUUAAAUGUUUGAUAAAUUUGAAGGUUGAACUUGUCCUUUAAUGCGAAACAUGAUGUUUGUACCUAUUUUGUUUAAAUUCGGUAAAAUGAAAGUAUUGGAAUGAUCCUUGUUGCCAAAAUGAGAUUUUAGUCUACAAGUUUGACAAAUGAGAAGUUUGUACUUGUCCCUCAAUCUUUAUGUAAAACAUGAUAUUUGAAAAUAUUUGUUUUUAAAUUCGGUAAUUAGGAAGUAUUGGAAUGACCCUUGUCGCGAAAAUGAGUUUUUUGUCUAUAUGGUUACAAUGUUUGAUAAAUGGAAAGGUUGAACUUGUCCACUGAUUUGGAACAUGAUAUGUUAGCCUAUUUUGUUUUAAAUUCGGUAAAAUGUAAGUCUUGAAAAGACCUUUGUCGCGAAAAAUGAAAUUGUACUCUAUAUGGUUAAUAGUUUGAUAAAUAUGAAGGUUGAAUUUGUCCCUCGAUGUCCUAUGAUGAGUAACAUAAUAUUUGAACCUCUUCGGUUUUAUAUUCGGUAAACCGAAAGUAAUGGGAUGAUCCUUCUCGCAAAGACGAGAUUUUAGCUUAUGUGGCUACAAGUUUGAUAAAUAUGAAGGUUGGCCUUGUCCCUCGAUAUCCCUUGAUGCGUAACAAGAUAUUUGAACCUAUUUGGUUUUAAAUUCGGUAAAUAUAAAGUAUUGAGAUGACCCUUGUCGCGAAAACGUGAUUUUAGCCUAUAUGGUUACAAAGUUAGAUAAAUGGGAAGGUUGAACGUGUCCCAUGAUUUAAAACAUGAUGUGAACCUAUUUGGUUUGUAUUCGGUUAAAUAGAAAUAUUGGAAUGACCCUUGUCGCGAAAAUCAGUUUUUAGUUUAUAUGGUUACAAUGUUUGAUAAAUGGGAAGGUUGAACUUGUCCACUGAUUUGGAACAUGAUAUAUUAGCCUAUUUUGUUUUAAAUUCGGUAAAAUGUAAGUCUUGAAAAGACCCUUGUUGAGCAUUCUCCCAUUAUUGCAAUUUUAUUUCUGUAUUUGAUAAAAAAAUGUAAAAAAAAACCCUUUUAAUCACAUUUAUCAAAACAAUAUUUUUUUUCUUUAAAAUCAACCAACACAUAAGUAUUUUAUACUCAUAAAUAACUUGAAUUCUCAAUUGCAACAGGAGACACGUAAAAGAAAGAAACCACUUUUAUUUUUGACAAAUGAAAAUGAGAAACCACUUUUGUCAAGCACAAUAAUGAAAAAAACUUCCUUCAAAAAAAAAAAAAUGAAAAAAACUUAUUUGUCUCUUCAUUUAAAAAACAAUGUUUUAAUUUACAGUUUAAUUUUUAUUCCCAUUUAAUAAAAACGAGAAAUAAAUAUUUUUAAAGUUAAUAAAUCUUGCACAAUUAAUUAGAGAUAACCAGUUUUAACAAAUGUUGUAGGGUGCUAAAUCCUUCUCUAAGCAUAAACAGCUUAUGAAUCUAAAAUUUAGCUUUUAAGGGCCAUUUUUUUCUUUUUAAAGGGGUUUUUCGAUGUUUUCCCUAUUUUAAUGAACUUCGGUUAGGACGCGACAACUCCAUUUUUAUACUUAUAAGAAAAACAAAGGAAGAAGGAAAAGAGAACACCUGUACCUUAGUUGUUGCAAUAAGAGAAUGGGAAAUGCUAACCAUCGUUCUUGGACACUGGUUAAAAUAAUCAAAUAUAGUAGUAUUUUGUCUUAAAAGUUGUGUAUUCAAUACAUUAAAAGUUUAAAAAGUUUUAAUUUUGACUCAAAAUUUCCUUUCUGGCUUCCUUAACCAAUGCCCUCGGGGCACCGGCUAGCAUGAGAAUAAGAGAAAGAGGAAUGCUAACGGGAUGCUUACUAUACUUAGUUUAUGAUAUAAUAGAUUUUGAGAUAACUGAAAAUUCAAGCUGUACUUUUGUGGGGUUGAUUUCAUUCUGUUUUGUUUUUAAGCUUGUAAGAAUUGUGUUUUUUUUAACUUUGUGUAUGUUUGAUUCUGCUUAGAAGAAAAUUGGGUUUGAAUUAAAUUUUUUUGGUUAUGAGGAAGUUGAAUGUAAAUUGAUUUAUUUUUUGGACACAUUUACUGUGAUUUUUACGAUCAAAUUUGCUUUUGAGGGUGUAAAGUGUCUUCCGCUUUUAAGGGCAAUAUGAGCAUGCAAUUAUCUAGAAUCAUUGGACAGUCUCUUAUUCCUCAAAUAAGAAUUUAUUGGCCUCUUUCUUGACUCCAUAGUGCAUGUUUGGAUACACAAUAAGGAGUGUCAAACUUGAGUUUUCUCGUGUCGAAUGUGACUUUGGUAUACAUCUCGAUGUUUGGUUAUUUUGAAAUCAGAAUUUUUUCUCUCCAAGUUUUAUAUCAGACUUGCUUUUAUUUAGAAUACAAAGAUCCAAAAUAAAUCGCUUCAUAUUUAAUUUUACAAAAUGAUGUUUGACAAACGCACACUCAAGCAUAGCUUAAUCUCUGCCUUCGUAUAUUCUCAAUUUGUGGAGACAAAACAGUUGAAUUUACACUAUUAUCUGGUAUCACAUUUGGGCACCUAGGAUUGUAGUUGUUUAUGAUAUUUCUACGUAAAUAUGACUAAUGUUUUAAUGUUUUAACACCUUAGGCAAAUCAGACUUGAAUUGUUUUUACAACUUAGGCAAAUCAACUUGGCUUUUAAAGUAUAUUAGGAACUGUUAUAUUAUAAACAAGUCAAUUUCCACCACCAUUUUCUAUUGACGGUAUGUCUGGUGUCCGAGAAGUGUCGAUGAUUAACACCGGCACGAUAACACACUCUCAAUUUUGUUUAAUUAUUAUCAGUGUCUACAUGUCAAUGUUAUUUUCGUGUGUAUUAAUCUCAGUGCUUCAUAGAUGUUUCGUAUUAGAGAUAGAAGAGAAAGAUGCACAAGAGACUACACAAAUGACAAGCUUACUUGAGAUACAAGCUACUUAGUUACAUUUAGUCUAAUCUUCAAUAUUAGCAUGUAAUUUUUUUAAGUGUAAUAAGCUGAACUACUCUAUAUAUACUUGAUGUAACACUCUUUUCCAGUUAUAAGAAUGAGAUCAUUUUCCA